rnacentral:rRNA from 1 species
GAGUUUGAUCGUGGCUCAGGAUGAACGCUGGCGGCGUGCCUAAUACAUGCAAGUCGGGCGAACGGACGAGAAGCUUGCUUCUCUGAUGUUAGCGGCGGACGGGUGAGUAACACGUGGAUAACCUACCUAUAAGACUGGGAUAACUUCGGGAAACCGGAGCUAAUACCGGAUAAUAUUUUGAACCGCAUGGUUCAAAAGUGAAAGACGGUCUUGCUGUCACUUAUAGAUGGAUCCGCGCUGCAUUAGCUAGUUGGUAAGGUAACGGCUUACCAAGGCAACGAUGCAUAGCCGACCUGAGAGGGUGAUCGGCCACACUGGAACUGAGACACGGUCCAGACUCCUACGGGAGGCAGCAGUAGGGAAUCUUCCGCAAUGGGCGAAAGCCUGACGGAGCAACGCCGCGUGAGUGAUGAAGGUCUUCGAAUCGUAAAACUCUGUUAUUAGGGAAGAACAUAUGUGUAAGUAACUGUGCACAUCUUGACGGUACCUAAUCAGAAAGCCACGGCUAACUACGUGCC